rnacentral:lncRNA from 10 species
GCUCAGAGAUAAGAACCUGUGGGAGGAGGACUGCCUUACGGGAGAGCUCUGUUGGCCGGAUGCCCUCCAGGUCCCACACAUCACGCCAUGAAGAUGGCUGCCUCCUCCUGGGGAGGAUGGAGUUGAGGAGGAGGAGGAGGAAGGCGGCGUCUGGGAUACCUCCUAUGGAUGGAGGUCUGUGAUGGGCCUGAACUGGAAGUCAUAAAACACGGGUGUGAGUUCUGCCUCCUUCUCUAAUGAGCCGGAUGGCCUUGAGUAAGUCACUCACCUUCUCAAGGCCUCGGCUUCCUCCCCUGUCGCUGGGAGAAAUUGUGUCUGUCUGAAGUAUCUCACGGCCUGGGAAAAUCAAAGCGAAUCACGUUGACGCAGCCUCACAGAGGGACAGAGUUUGACUGCGGGACUCAGCCUGAGGCAGGGGACAGAAUCCCUGAGUGUGCUCCUGGCCAGUGGCUUCAUCUCUCAUCUCUCUGUGACUCUGUUUUCUUUAGCUGUCUAUGGAAAGAAUAAGCAUGAGAAGCAUUCAAUUUGAUUCAAACUGAAGCACUGCACCUGCUUUGUGUGAGACACUUUAGCCACCUCAGGGGUACACACACAAAAGCCCACUGUCCCUGCCCUCAAGGAGCCUAUCAUAUAAUGACAGUCACUAAAAUUUGAAGAUCUCUUUACAGUUCACCUUUACUUCUGAUAUGGUUUGGCUCUGUGUGCCCACUCAAAUCUCAUCUUGAAUUGUAAUCCCCACGUGUUGAGGGAGGGACCUGAUGGGAGGUGAUUGGAUUAUGGGGGCGGUUUCCCACAUGUUCUUGUGACAGUGAAGGAGUUCUCACAAGAUCUGAUGGUUUAAAGUGUUUUGCAAUUCCCCCCUCACACUCUCUUUCCUGCCUCCUUGUGAAGAAGGUGCUUGCUUUCCCUUCGCCUUCCGCCAUGAUUGUAAGUUUCCUGAGGGCCUCCCCAACCAGGCAGAGCUGUGACUCAAUUAAAACUGUCUUCUUUGUAAAUUACCCAGUCUCAGGUGUGUCUUUAUAGCAGCAUGAGAACAGACUAAUACACCUUCUCUCACUUUUUCUUCAAAAUGAUAGGCAGUGUUAUUGACGCUGUUUCACAAACGAGGACCUCCGAUGGAAGGAGCUAGGCUACCUGGGAGAAAUGAUAUUCUGCUGGCAUCCCACUACACUUUCUACCUGAGGCAUCGUCCCUAAAACACUAGGACAUCAGGAAAACCUAAUGAUGACUACUGUUUCAUUUAGGGCCCUCUCAGCUGCAAGUACAAAGACAUAGAAACCAAGUAUUGGGUUUUUAGCUGAGAAGCCCAGCAUCAGGCUGGACCACCAUCUGCGCAUCCUGUCUGGGGUUCAUACACAACAAAGACCUGAUUUCUCUCCUGUUCUCCGCUCAGCUUUCAUGGUCUCCUGGAGCUGAGAUCUUCUCAGCCCACAGGUGAUGACAGAAUGGAGAUAGUGGUUCCGGCUUCAAUGCUUCCAGGUUCAAGUCCACGGGGAAGAACCCUGCCUCCCUCUCAGAAGGCUCAGCUCCAGUCCCCUGGGUUCCAGUAGAAGCCCAAGCCCCUCCAGGAACCCCUUACUGUUACUGUGAAGGCGGAAUAUGGCUUUGGUUAAUUGAGGCCAACUCACAGUGCUAGAUCAAUCCCCCUAAACCACAAGGGCGGAGGGUGGGACCAGAUAGGUUAUUAAGGGAAAUUUGGGUACUCUUUUACCCAGAGGGUGAACAGAUGCUAAAUGGCCCAACUAUGCACAUGUGUAGCCAUCCACUGCAACAAUGCGUAGUAGUUGGUUAAUAAAUUUAUUUUCAUUUACCAAUUGAUUUAUCAGCAAAAUGAAUAAAAACUAAGUAGGCUACCUGUAAGAAAAGGUAAUAAAAUAUGUAAAAAUGAAUUAAACACUGUAAUCUGCCUCAAGUGGAUUCAGUGGCUUUGUCUGUGAUUCCCUGAACCUGCUCUCAUUGGAUAAUUUCACCUUAUUAGUAUAUACACCACAACCUCAGAAGGCAACUAUAAGAGCCAGAUGCCUGGACAGCCAUAUGGAAAAAAAU